rnacentral:lncRNA from 1 species
GUGCGGUUUUCCUUUUCUUUUUUUGUUUAAAAUUGCUUGAUGUUUGAAUUUGUGUAGAAAAUUGUUUGCUGAUCCAAAAAUGAUGAAAAUUUUUGUAUAUGUUCUAUGCAGUGUGUAGAACACAGGAAAAAUACUAGAUUCCAUUGUCUGGUAGUGUACAUGUAUAUGAAAAUUGCAUCCUUUAAUUAAUAAAUAAAACUUCCAUGAAUUUUAAUAAUUUUUAGGUAUGUCCAAAAAUCACCAAAAUUUGUGAGAGGUCCCUGAGUAUUAUUCCAUGGC